rnacentral:rRNA from 1 species
AACGAACGCUGGCGGCAUGCCUAACACAUGCCAGUCGAACGAGACCUUCGGGUCUAGUGGCGCACGGGUGCGUAACGCGUGGGAACCUGCCUUUAGGUUCGGAAUAACUCAGAGAAAUUUGAGCUAAUACCGGAUGAUGUCUUCGGACCAAAGAUUUAUCGCCUUUAGAUGGGCCCGCGUUGGAUUAGCUAGUUGGUGGGGUAAAGGCCUACCAAGGCGACGAUCCAUAGCUGGUCUGAGAGGAUGAUCAGCCACACUGGGACUGAGACACGGCCCAGACUCCUACGGGAGGCAGCAGUGGGGAAUAUUGGACAAUGGGCGAAAGCCUGAUCCAGCAAUGCCGCGUGAGUGAUGAAGGCCUUAGGGUUGUAAAGCUCUUUUACCCGAGAUGAUAAUGACAGUAUCGGGAGAAUAAGCUCCGGCUAACUCCGU